UACAGAGGUCCCAAGCGUUGUUCGGAUUCAUUGGGCGUAAAGGGUGCGUAGGCGGUGGGGUAAGUUGGAUGUGAAAUCUUGGGGCUUAACCUCAAAAUUGCAUUCAAUACUGCUCUGCUCGAGUUCUGUAGAGGAGAUUGGAAUUUACGGUGUAGCAGUGAAAUGCGUAGAUAUCGUAAGGAACGCCAGUGGCGAAAGCGAAUCUCUGGGCAGCAACUGACGCUGAGGAGCGAAAGCGUGGGGAGCGAACAGG
rnacentral:rRNA from 1 species